rnacentral:rRNA from 1 species
UACGUAGGUGGCAAGCGUUGUCCGGAUUUACUGGGCGUAAAGAGCGCGCAGGCGGUCGGAUCAGUCGAAUGUGAAAGCCCCCGGCUCAACUGGGGAGGGUCAUUCGAUACUGUCCGACUCGAAGGCAGGAGAGGGAAGCGGAAUUCCCGGUGUAGUGGUGAAAGUGCGUAGAUAUCGGGAGGAACACCAGUGGCGAAGGCGGCUUUCUGGCCUGUUCUUGA